GUUCGGUGACUGCGUACCUUUUGUAUAAUGGGUCAGCGACUUACAUUCAGUGGCGAGGUUAACCGAAUAGGGAAGCCGUAGAGAAAUCGAGUCCGAAUAGGGCGAAUAGUCGCUGGGUGUAGACCCGAAACCAAGUGAUCUAUCCAUGGCCAGGAUGAAGGUACCGUAACAGGUGCUGGAGGUCCGAACCGACUAGUGUUGCAAAACUAGCGGAUGA
rnacentral:rRNA from 12 species